GAGUUGUGUUCCAUUUGUGAAAAUUCAAGCUGUGGAGUUAUAAUAUGUGCAGUUUCCUAUAUGACUGUGAUGCUUCUGAGAAACAGCUAAAAUUAGUGAUGCUACUGAUAAGUAUAUGAUAGGCUGUUAAAAUAGUGGAGCUCCCCCCACCCAGCAAACAUCAUGAAAUCAUACAUAAAAAUAUAUUUAUUUUAAAAUCUUAAUUUUACUCCUGCC
rnacentral:lncRNA from 10 species